AGGGAAUCUUCCACAAUGGACGCAAGUCUGAUGGAGCAACGCCGCGUGAGUGAAGAAGGCUUUCGGGUCGUAAAACUCUGUUAUUGAAGAAGAACGUGUGUGACAGUAACUGGUCAUGCAGUGACGGUAUUCAAUCAGAAAGUCACGGCUAACUACGUGCCAGCAGCCGCGGUAAUACGUAGGUGGCAAGCGUUGUCCGGAUUUAUUGGGCGUAAAGCGAGUGCAGGCGGUCUUUUAAGUCUGAUGUGAAAGCCUUCGGCUUAACCGAAGAAGGGCAUCGGAAAUCUGGGAGACUUGAGUGCAGAAGG
rnacentral:rRNA from 1 species